rnacentral:misc_RNA from 1 species
GAUGAAGAACGUAGCGAAAUGCGAUACUUGGUGUGAAUUGCAGAAUCCCGUGAACCAUCGAGUCUUUGAACGCAAGUUGCGCCCGAAGCCACUAGGCCGAGGGCACGCCUGCCUGGGCGUCACACGCCGUUGCCCCCCCAUCUACUCCUUCGGGAUUGCGGGGGGGCGGAUGAUGGCCUCCCGUGCGCCUAGCCGCGCGGUUGGCAUAAAUACCAAGUCCUCGGCGACGCACGCCACGACAAUCGGUGGUUGCGAAACCUCGGUUGCCCGUCGUGUGCGUUCGUCGCGCAUCGAGGGCUCGAAAAAAUGCUCGGCUCCGGCUGGGCUUUCAACGCGACCCCAGGUCAGGCGGGGUUACCCGCUGAAUUUAAGCAUAUCAAUAAGCGGAG